rnacentral:lncRNA from 1 species
CUGUUAGUGUAAGUUGAAAUGGCCGUUAAUUAGGAAUUCAGUUGAAACAUCCUAUUAAACACAGGUUGCUAAGCAACAGUGACCCUCGGCAACAGUGUGGCCAUUCCUUCUGCUGCGGAGCUUCUGGGCCUGGGUCUCAUGCUGCAGUAAAGGUACCCUUUGUGGCUGGUCUGAGCCACACCUCUACACACGGAUCGCAGGAUCCAAAGGAAAGGAGACCAACGCUUCCGGGCGCCGACAACGAGCUGGCGCGGUGCUAACCGCUUUGACACCCAGCCUGCCACCUGUGACUCUGGGCAGGCCUCAGUGCGCCUCAUCUGCAAAAUGAGAUCACAGUGGGUAGCUCCUGACCCUGGCGCUCCCGUGCUAGGGGGCGGGGGUGCAGGCUGAGGAGAGAGGCGGUCGCACCACCUGCCCCGCCCCAUCCCAUCCCCGCCCACUCCGGGCCCGGGGCGGGGGGCAGGGCCCAGAGGUCAGGUGGCCGGGCGGCGCGCGCCGGUUCCGAGCGCCAACUGCCGGCCGCCCCCCCCCCGCCCCCCGGCCCCGCGCCCCCCCUGCCCGGGCUGGAAGGCUGCGGCCCCUGCCGGUGCGAGCCCGGCCCGAGAGGCGGGAACGCGGCGCGGGCUCGCCGGC